NNNNNNNNNNNNNNNNNNNNNNNNNNNNNCCCGCCUCGGCCUUUGCACGAGGCCUCGCACGAGGCUUCGCACCAGGGCUCGGAGCCCCGGAGGAGGACGAGGGUUUGGAGGAACCGGGGAUGGCGGCGGCGAGCAGCGGCGGCGGGAGGAGGAGACGGCGAAGGGCUGCGGGAGGCCUCGCGCGAGGAUUUGCACGAGGGUUCGCACGAGGAUUUGCACCGGGGGUCACACCCGGGAAGGCGGCGGGCGGCAUGGCAGCGGGCUUCGCAGGGGGACUCGCACCAGGGAUGGCAGCCGGGCGGCAGCCAGGAUUUGCACGAGGAGUCGCACGACGGGGUACGUGAGGAGCAGCAGCCGGGGUGGCACCAGGAUUUGCACGAGGAGCGGUUGCCGGGGAGGCACCGGGCUUUGCACGAGGACUUGCAGCGAGGGAGGCAGCGGGAGUUGCGACCAUCUUGGCACCAAGGUUUGCAUGGGGACUUGCACCAGGAUUUGCACCAGGAUUUGCACCAGGAUGCCAGAGCAAACAGGCAGCAGGGUUCGCACGAGGAUUUGCACGAGGACUCACACCGAGACAGCGCUCAGUCCUCACGGCUGCCCUGGCACCAGCGUUUGCACAGUGGCACGCAUGGGGAUGCGCACGAGGAUCUGCGGCCAGGCAGGCACCGGGGUUUGCCCGAGGAUUUGCACGAAGAUUUGCACAAGGACUUACGUGGGGAUUUGCACGAGGGUUUGCAGCGAGGAAGGCAGCAGGACUCGCAGCCAGACCGGCAGCUGGGUUUGCACAGGGAUGCGCACAGGGAUUUGCACCCAGACAAGCACCGGGAUUUGCACGAGGAUUUGCACGAGGAUUUGCAGGAGAACUUGAGCCAAGACGGCAGGAGGGAUCGGCAACCGCCGGGGCACCGGCAUUUCCACGGGGACUCGCCGGAGGAUUUGCACGAGGUUUCACACGAGGAUUCGCACGAGGGCUUGAGCCGAGACGGCAGGAGGGAUCGGCGACCGCCUGGGCACUGGCGUUUCCAUGGGGACUCGCACGAGGUUUCACAUGAAGAUUUGCACGAGGCUUCGCACGAGGAUUUGCACGAGGCUUUGCACGAGGACUCGCCCAGCUCACCACGGGCCCCUGCCACAUACGGUGACUCCCCCCCCGCCCCUGGCCACCCCUCUAGGGACGAGGACCCCGACCCCUACGGGGACCCUUACCCGGACCUGGGGGGCCCCGACACCUACGGGGACCCCUAUAGGGGCCCGGCCCCGCCCUACGGGGACGAGCACCCCAACCCGGGGCCGUGGGACCCCGAAGCGGAGCUCUGGGACCCCGACAUCUACGGGGACCCCUAUAUGGACCCCUAUGGGGACGAGGAGCCGGAGCGGGGGGGCUGGGACCCCUAUACGCUCCCCUCUGACCCCUACGGGGAUCCCGAGCCGGGGAGUCUCCGUAGGGGGGGGCACCCCCAAACCAGGCCCUGGGACCCCUAUGAGCACCCCGAUACGGACCCCUAUAGGCUCCGGGACCCCUAUAGGGACGGGGACCCCCGGAAUGAGCCCAGGGACCCCUAUAGAGCCCCAGAUGCCGAGACUGAGCCCUGGGACCCCCCCAGGACUUGGGACCCCCAAACUGACCCCAGGGACCCCCAUAGGCUUGGGGACCCCCAAAGGGAGCCCCAGGACCCCUAUAGAACCUGGGACCCCCAAACUGACCCCAGGGGCCCCUAUAGAGUCAGGGACCCCCACACUGACUUGAGGGACCCCUAUAGAGUUGGGGACCCCCAAACUGACCCCAGGGACCCCUAUAGAACCUGGGACCCCCAAACUAACCCGAGGGACCCUUAUAGAGUCAGGGACCCCCACACUGACUCGAAGGAUCCCUAUAGAAUUGGGGACCCCCAAAGUGACCCCAGGGACCCCUAUAGAACCUGGGACCCCCAAACUAACCCGAGGGACCCCUAUAGGCUCGGGGACCCCCAAACUGACCCCAGGGACCCCCAUAGCUUUGGGGACCCCCAGAGGGAGCCCCAGGACCCCUAUAGAACCUGGGACCCCCAAACUGACCCGAGGUACCCCUAUAGGCUUGGGGACCCCCAAACUGACCCGAGGGACCCCUAUAGGCUCAGGGACCCCCAAACUAAUAUCAGGGACCCCUAUAACUUUGGGGACCCCCAAACUGACCCGAGGGACCCCUAUAGCCUUGGGGACCCCCAAACUGACCCGAUGGACCCCCAUAGCUUUGGGGACCCCCAAACUGACCCCAGGGACCCCUAUAGAGCCAGCCACCACCCCGGGCCCUAUAGGCACCCCCAAACUGUGCCCUCCACCCCCCAGGA
rnacentral:lncRNA from 1 species